AUAACUUUAAGUUAAAGAAACUGUAAACCUUCAAAGUUUAAAAUGAUAUUAUCAAGUUAUC
rnacentral:tRNA from 1 species